rnacentral:rRNA from 1 species
UUUUUAAAAUAAAACGAGUUUGAUCCUGGCUCAGAAUUAACGUUUUUGAUUAGUCUUACACAUGCAAGUUUGCAGUUUAUGCAAGCGUACGGGUGAGUAAAAUAUAGGAAUUAAUCUUUAUUAAUAAAAGACUAGCCUAUAGAAGAUUAAGUUAUUAAGUUGAAAAACCUUAAGUCUAAUGAUCUUUAGUUGGUCUUUGCGGAUGAGCAACCACAUUGGAACUGAAACAAGGUCCAAACUUUUUAAAAAGGCAGCAGUGGAGAAUCUUGGACAAUGAGUGAAAACUUGAUCCAGCUAAAUCAAAUGUGUGAUUAAAAUAAAACACAAAAUAAAUCAAAUUUUGCUUUUUUUAUUUUUUAGUCCUGGCUAAUUUCGUGCCAGCAGCCGCGGUAAUACGAAAAGGGCAAACGUUACUCGAAAUUAUUGGGCGUAAAGAAUAUGUAGGUUGAAAAUUAAAUUUUACUAAAAAAAUAAAAUUUUAUUUUUUAUAUUAUUAAAACAUUAAUUUUCUAGAGUUACUAAAAAGAUUUUGGAAUUUUAAAUGUAGCGGUAAAAUGUUUUGAUAUUUAAAAGAACCUCAAUUAGCGUAAGCAAAAAUCUUUUUUAUACUGACAUUGAGAUAUUAAAGCAUGGGUAGCAAAAGGGAUUAGAUACCCCUGUAGUCCAUGCCCUGAACUAUGAAUGUUUACAAUUAACAAACAAACAUUCCGCCUGGGGAGUACGAUUACAAAAUUAAAACUCAAAGGAAUUGACGGGGAUCUACACAAGCAGUGGAGUAUGUGGUUUAAAUCGAUAUUACGCGAGAAACCUUACCAAAUUUUGUAUUAUUAACAAGUGUUGCAUGGCUGUCGUCAGUCCGUGCUUUGAAGCGUUUGGUUCAUUCCAAAAAACGGACGAAACUCUUUUAUAUUUUUUAAUAUAGACAUUAAAGACAUUUUAAAGGAAGAAGAAUAACGUCAAGUCUUUAUGACCUUUAUGAUUUGGGCUACUUUCAUGUACUACAUUAAUUUGGACAAUUUUUAUCUUAAAAUGCAAAUUUAAGAAAAAAAAACCAAAAUUCUGUUCAGAUUAUUUUCUGCAACUCGAAAAUAUGAAGUUGGAAUUGCUAGUAAUCGCAAAUAAGAAUAUUGCGGUGAAUAAGUUCUUAGAUCUUGUACACACUGCCCGUCACGCUAUGGAAAUUUAACUUUCUUGAAUACAUUAAAGAAUUAAAAUAACUAGAGUGAAGUCGUAACAAGGUAGCCGUAGGGGAACCUGUGGCUGAAAAAUUUAUAAGU